rnacentral:pre_miRNA from 1 species
AAAGCAUUGUGCAGCCAAGGAUGACUUGCCGGCUCUCUAUUUGUUUCUAUAUUACGAAGGAGUUGGCAAGUUGUUCUUGGCUACAUGUUUCUUUCU